AUACGGAGGAUCCGAGCGUUAUCCGGAUUUAUUGGGUUUAAAGGGUGCGCAGGCGGCCAUUUAAGUCAGCGGUUAAAUCGUGGGGCUCAACCCCAUUCUGCCGUUGAUACUGGGUGGCUUGAUUGCGGUCGAGGUUGGCGGAAUUCGUUGUGUAGCGGUGAAAUGCAUAGAUAUGACGAAGAACACCGAUUGCGUAGGCAGCUGACCAGACCGCAAAUGACGCUCAUGCACGAAAGUGCGGGGAUCGAACAGGAUUAGAUACCCUGGUAGUCCGCACAGUAAACGAUGAAUAUUUGUUUUCGGCGAUAUAAUGUCGGAGGCAAAGCGAAAGCGAUAAGUAUUCCACCUGGGGAGUACGCCGGCAACGGUGAAACUUAAAGGAAUUGACGGGG
rnacentral:rRNA from 1 species